CGCAACGCUCCAAAUCAGAACCUUGGCGAUCCGAACGUUCUGUCCGCCCUUCCGAGGCGGCGCGCGCAACCAUGGCGGUCAAGAUCAAGGUGGUUUAUUGCGGAGCCUGAGGCUACAAACCCAAGUUUCUACAGCUCAAGAAGGAACUCGAGAAGGAGUUUCCGGGCAAGCUGGAAAUUAGCGGCGAAGGGACUCCACAAGUCACAGGAUGGUUUGAAGUGAUAGUAGCUGGGAAGACGGUGCACUCCAAAAAGAACGGAGAUGGCUUUGUGGACGACGAUGUCAAACUCAACAAGAUAAUUAAGGCUAUCAAAGCAAAUUUGGCAUGAAGACCUCUUUAGGCCUGGGCUAGCAGUUCAAAAUGCAACAGAGCUCAAGAAAAAAUCUGUUUUGUUCAUCUUGGCGAAUCGCUCAAUGACGGGAGCUGCUGAAAUGUUGCUUGACACCUGGCAGUUCCCUGAAAACUUUGCGCUGGAUGCCAACCUGAUCAAGGCUGGAUGGAAAAACUUGGGCUCCAAUUCAGUGCUUGGGUGUGAAUUAAGUCUGCAACUCCUAACAUACCUGCUUUCUGUUUUCAUUGUGUGCUGCAUGCAAAUACAGCUUUCUUUAUGUUUUUUUUUAAAUACUUGCAUUAUUGACCAGUAAUUGUGAAAAAGGAGAAAAAUAGGAAGAGUGGGAGAUUCAUCAAAUGUUUGCUUUCGUCGUAUCCAAACGCUUCCAAUAGAUGAUGAAACCAGAUGCAAAAAACCCUUUGUCUCGAACAACAAUUUUAGAAUCCUAAAACAUCUUAACUUGAAAAUGUGCAUUCUUCUUUCUUUCUUUCCUGCUGCUCCUCACUUCCCCACUGCAGGAUUGUGUGCUUUAUUAUACCCACUUCUGACUUCUUUGCUCAAACAUUGUCAAAUGCACUGAACGUUUAAUAAAAUGUUACUUC